GUUAGUGUGAACUACACUGCGCACUACCCCAGGUUAGUGUGAACUACACUGCGCACUACCCCAGGUUAGUGUGAACUACACUGCGCACUACCCCAGGUUAGUGUGAACUACACUGCGCACUACCCCAGGUUAGUGUGAACUACUCUGCGCACUACCCCAGGUUAGUGUGAACUACACUGCGCACUACCCCAGGUUAGUGUGAACUACACUGCGCACUACCCCAGGUUAGUGUGAACUACACUGCGCACUACCCCAGGUUAGUGUGAACUACACUGCGCACUACCCCAGGUUAGUGUGAACUACACUGCGCACUACCCCAGGUUAGUGUGAACUACUCUGCGCACUACCCCAGGUUAGUGUGAACUACACUGCGCACUACCCCAGGUUAGUGUGAACUACUCUGCGCACUACCCCAGGUUAGUGUGAACUACACUGCGCACUACCCCAGGUUAGUGUGAACUACACUGCGCACUACCCCAGGUUAGUGUGAACUACACUGCGCACUACCCCAGGUUAGUGUGAACUACACUGCGCACUACCCCAGGUUAGUGUGAACUACACUGCGCACUACCCCAGGUUAGUGUGAACUACACUGCGCACUACCCCAGGUUAGUGUGAACUACACUGCGCACUACCCCAGGUUAGUGUGAACUA